rnacentral:rRNA from 1 species
UACGGGGGGGGCAAGCGUUGUUCGGAAUUACUGGGCGUAAAGGGCGCGUAGGCGGCCAGACAAAGUCGAGCGUUAAAUUCCAGGGCUUAACCCUGGGCUGUUGCUCGAUACUAGUCGGCUAGAGUGUGGAAGAGGGUGCUGGAAUUCCUGGUGUAGCGGUGAAAUGCGCAGAUAUCAGGAGGAACACCAAUGGCGAAGGCAGCUCGCUGGGACGGUACUGACGCUGAGACGCGAAAGCGUGGGGAGCAAACAGG